rnacentral:rRNA from 1 species
AUUGAACGCUGGCGGCAGGCCUAACACAUGCAAGUCGAACGAGUGGCGGACGGGUGAGUAAUGUCUGGGAAACUGCCUGAUGGAGGGGGAUAGCUACUGGACACGGUAGCUAAUACCGCAUACCAUCAAAUGUGUCCAGAUGGGAUUAGCUAGUAGGUGGGGUAAAGGCUCCCCUAGGCGCCGAGCCCUAGCUGGUCUGAGAGGAUGACCAGCCACACUGGAACUGAGACACUGUCUAGACUCCUACGGGAGGCAGCAGUGGGGAAUAUUGCACAAUGGGCGCAAGCCUGAUGCAGCCAUGCCGCGUGUAUGAAGAAGGCCUUCGGGUUGUAAAGUACUUUCAGCGGGGAGGCGUUACCCGCAGAAGAAGCACCGGCUAACUCCGUGCCAGCAGCCGCGGUAAUAC